AGUAGUAUGUGCCAUGUGUUUUAAAAUGGCCUAAGUAUGUGCCAUGUGUUUUAAAAUGGCCUUACUGUAAACCAACACUCAAGCUCUGAGAGAAAAAACAGUUUGUAAAAAUGUCUUGGCUUUACUUGGUUAAUAAAAAAUCAAACUAAUUCAUUGGCACUGCAUCCUCUUUCACAUUACUACAUGAAAUUGAUCUAUUUAAAUAGUACUGAAUUAUUGCAUCAUAUCGUGAUAUGGGUGUAAAUCGUAUCAUACCGCAUUGCAAAAUGCCACACAUGUAUCGUUAAUAUAUCGCAUCGGAUACUUAGUAUCGAGAUGCGUAUUGGAUCGGCAUUAUACCUUAGAUGCCCAACCCUAGUAUGAAAGGUUUGUAGA